rnacentral:lncRNA from 1 species
CUGGAAACUAAAUGUGUCUACGGACGACGACAACAUCAUACCAUUAUACAACACAAAAAAAAAUUUUGCGGUCGUAUAAAAAUAGAGUAGGUAGGUAGGGAUUUUUUUUUAUUUUACAUUUUUUUUUUCAUUGAGUCUAUGGGAGGGACAUUCUGAUAUUAAUGCCUCGUUCACACGGAUAUUUAAUUGGAAUUGAAUUGGAAUCAAAUGCGAAUCGAAUUCACAAAUUGCGUUCACACACUCUUCUUUUUUAAUUCGAAUUGAUUCGAAUUGGCUAAUUCGAAUAUCUAAUCCGCAUUAGAAUACGCUUUUGUGAAUACAAAUUAAAAGUUAACGUCGUUUGGACAGUAAAGCGAAUUUGACGCGCAUUGUAAUUCGAAUUAGAAUUGACGUUAACUUAGGACUAAAAACGUUUCGAAUGCGAAUUAAACUAAUUCAAAUUAGUUAAUG